UACAGAGGGUGCUAGCGUUGUUCGGAAUCAUUGGGCGUAAAGGGCGUGUAGGCGGUUUGUUAAGUCAUGUGUGAAAUCCCUCGGCUCAACCGGGGAACGACGCAUGAAACUGAUGAGCUAGAGUACCAAAGAGGGGGGUGGAAUUCCCGGUGUAGCGGUGAAAUGCGUAGAUAUCGGGAGGAACGCCGGUGGCGAAAGCGAUUCUCUGGUCCUUUCCUGACACUGAGGCGCGAAAGCUAGGGGAGCAAACAGG
rnacentral:rRNA from 1 species